rnacentral:lncRNA from 1 species
CUUAUUUUUCAUUUUUAGAAACAUUUCUAGAAAUGGAUAGCUAUGAAGUUAAUGUUACAAUUGGUAGUAAAGUUUCUAUCAGUUGUGUCAUAACACAUAGUCCAAAGGAGUUCGAAGUGUUUUGGGAGAAGAUAGAGAUUGACAAGGAAACACACCAAGUUUUGAAACAAACAAAGAAGAAGUAUGAAAUGUUCAACAAAAGGCAUGCAAAAUUAACAAUUAAAAAUGUAGAUAAAUCUGAUGAAGCUUUCUAUUGUUGUUGUGUGGAAUACUCCUCUUCUUCUGGAAACAAAAUAAUCCUUCCGAGUGAAAGAGCACGGCUUUAUGUUAAUGAUG